rnacentral:rRNA from 1 species
GCGUGAGUGAAGAAGGCCUUCGGGUUGUAAAGCUCUUUUCAGUUGAGAAGAAAAGAUUGUAACUAAUAAUUACGAUCCGUGACGGUAUCAACAGAAGAAGCACCGGCUAACUACGUGCCAGCAGCCGCGGUAAUACGUAGGGUGCGAGCGUUAAUCGGAAUUACUGGGCGUAAAGGGUGCGCAGGCGGUUCUGUAAGUCAGAUGUGAAAUCCCCCGGGCUUAACCUGGGAACUGCGUUUGAAACUACAGAGCUAGAGUGUGGCAGAGGGGGGUGGAAUUCCAUGUGUAGCAGUGAAAUGCGUAGAGAUAUGGAAGAACAUCGAUGGCGAAGGCAGCCCCCUGGGUCAACACUGACGCUCAGGCACGAAAGCGUGGGGAGCAAACAGGAUUAGAUACCCUGGUAGUCCACGCCCUAAACUAUGUCAACUAGUUGUCGGGCCUUAUUAGGUUUGGUAACGUAGCUAACGCGUGAAGUUGACCGCCUGGGGAGUACGGUCGCAAGAUUAAAACUCAAAGGAAUUGACGGGGAC